rnacentral:rRNA from 1 species
GGACAUCUAUCGGAAAAGA